rnacentral:lncRNA from 1 species
UAGUGACAGAUUUUAAAUAAAUUCGAUUAUGAUUUUUUUGGUAACACAAUUAUGAUUUUAAAUAAAUUAACCCCAACAUUGCUUUUGAUUAUAAAAAAAACCCUUAUUUUUUUUCUUUCUUAAAACCUAAAAAAUCUAAUUUUCCUCUAAACUAUAAAUUACCGUUGCCUCUUUUCAUUGUCAUUGUUGUUAUCGAAGCACCAAUCAGUCCAAUCUAAAAUCUAACGUAAAAAUCCAAUCUGCGCAGGGGAAAAAUCAACAAACUAAUGUAAGAAUACCCACAAUAAAACACCAAUGAAAUGAGAAAAAGGUUAAUACAACCUAAACUUGGAAAAUGUUAUAUUGGGGUUUGAAUUUUUUUUGUCUAAGCUAGUCAUUGAACUUCAUAAUUGUUCAUGCAUUGAGGCUUGAACUUUUUUUGUUUAAGUUACUCUUUGAAUUUGUCAGUUGUUCUCACAUUGGAACCUAAACUCUUUUAUUCCAAUUUAGGUCUUGAACUUAGUAAUUGUUCCUACAUUAGAGCCUAAACUUUUUUUUAUUCAAGUUAGUCCCUAAUAUUUCCUUAAAAAAAGUUUAUGCCCUAAUGUUAGAACAAUUGCGAAGUUUAGGGAUUAACUUGGAACAAAAAAAAUGUUCAAGCCCCAAUAUGCGAGAAAUUGCUUAAUUCAGCCCCCAACAUAGGUAUAAAUGUCAAAUUCAAGAAUUAACUUAGACAAAAAAAGUUCAGGCCCUAACGUGAGAAUAGUUGUCAAGUUCAAAGAUUAACUUAGACUUAAAAAAAAGUUUAAACCUCAAUGUGUGAAUAAUUACCAAGUUCAGACCCCAACUAGUGAAUAAGAAAACAUAAUGGAUGGAUGGAGAAGGGAGUAGAAAAGUGGAAAGAAAAUAAAUUGAGUAUACUUGGUUGGAAAGAAAAGUGAGAGGAAAUAAAAUAUAAGCGGUGAUCAUUUUCCAUCCUAAUACAUAAAAACUAAUCCUUCUAAAAUUGGAAUGAUAAAGAAGAAAGAAAAUGAGAGAAAUGUGUAAGUUAAAAAUUAUGCAUUUUUAAAAUGUUUUAUUUUAUUUCCUUCCAUUUUCUAACUCUACCAAGCAAAGGAUGGAAAGAGAAUUGGAAAAAUAAAAAAUUGAAGGGAUAGAAAGAUGGAAAAUGUACUUUUUCUUUCCACAAGUGUGCUUGGUAGGAGAGAUGAAAAAAAUGGAAAGAAAAACCAUUGCUUGAUAAAGUUGAAAAGUGAAAAGAAGAAAAAUAAAACAUUUGAAAAAUGCAUAAUUUUGAAUUAAUGUGUACAUGUCUCUCAUUUUCUCUCCCUUCAUUAUUCAAAAUUGGAAGGAUUAACUAUUAUGCAUUAAUAUCUAAGACUUGUAAAUUGUUAAUCCAAUAUUUUUAAAAUCCAGUCUGUCGUCUGGCACAUCUCUGUCUGCCGAUUGGCACGAUUUUUUAUUUUAUCUUUUUUCAUCUUUGACUUUCUUUUUGUUGCCUUGCUACUGGUACUUGUUUAUUCUGUCUAGUGGGAAGAUAUUUGUCUUUGUUGUGGAAAGUGAUGGAACGUGGUAUUGCGGAUCUGAGUUUGGAGGAUGGUGAAGAAGAGGCUUUUUUUAUGUAAGAUGAGGUAGAAGAACAAAGUGUUGCGUAUAGCUUUUGCUUGGUGGGAUGUUUUUUACUACUAGUGUGGUGCAUUUUCCAGCCAUGAGGAAUAAAAUGGCUAAUAUCUGGCACCCCUUGGAGGGUGUGCAAAUAUAAGAUCUGGGUGAAAAACGUUUUCUUUUCAAAUUCUUUAAUGAGUUAGAUAUCUCCCGGGUUAUUACAGGCGCUCCUUGGACUUUCAAUAAUCAUCUAUUGAUUUUUCAUAGGGUUCAGGAAAAUGAAAAUCCGAUGUUUAUUCCAUUGGUGUGCUCAGAUUGGUGGGUCCAGGUUCACGACCUGCCACCAAGGUUUUUUAGAGAUUCAAUGGCGGUGCAAUUUGGAAAUUUCAUUGGCAAAUAUCUGGAAUAUGAUAUGAAGCAGUUAACCAAUGGUUACAAGAAUUAUCUACGUAUUUGUGUCCAAAUUGAUGUUCGAAAACCUCUGAAAAGAAGAAAGAAAGUUAUGAUUUCUGAUUCAAAGUUUACUUAUGCAAAAUUCAAGUAUGAAUAUUUAACUUUUUUUUGUUUCCUAUGUGGCUGCCUUGGUCAUGGUGAUAAUUUUUGCUCGAAGAGGUUACAAUAUGGAAUGCAUGAAGUGAAGAUAGGCUGGGAUUUGACGUUGAGGGCUCAGGCAAGGAAGGCCACCACUGCUAACAGUAUCUGGCUGAAGGAAAAUGGAGAGAGUAAUUUUUUUGGAAAGUUACGGUCCAAGCAGCAUCUGACCAAAAUUCAAAACAAAAUCAAGGGCACGGAUCAUGGGAAAACAUUAAUCCUAUUAUUGGAAUUAAUUUGAAAGGUUCCAAAUUUUCAGAUAUUUUGAAUAGUGUCCAACAAUGAAAGGAAUCAGGUCACAAUGAUAGGAAGGAUCUGGUGUCUAGUAAAAGUCAACUGUUGGGGACUUCUCUGAAUGGUUAUGAAUUAAGAAAAGUUCCAAGUGAGAUGGGCCCUACUAAUGGAUUGGAUUUGUCAUAUAUGGAAUGUGAAUUAGAAGAUGAUCCAAUCAUCAAUGAGGAAGGUAAAAAACAACAGAGGUUUGAUUCUUUGAUCUCUAAUGUUUCUACUAUUCAGGAUUCGUUGGAGGUUAUUGGUGGGAAUUCAGCUCAUCUUAAAUAGAUAUCGACAGCUACCAAUAGACAUGCCGUCCAGAAAAAAUAAAUAUUUUUUGCUGGAAUGUUCAUGGAUUGGGGAGUCUGUGAACAGUAAGAAGACUUCAGCAUAUGCUGAAAAUUUAUCAUCCCCAAAUUGUCUUCUUUAUGGAGACUAAAUUGAAUGCUAAUAGAAUGGAGAUUGUUAAAAGGUGUUGUGGAUUUUUUAAUGGUGUUGACGUUCCUACUGAAGGUUCACAAGGGGGUUUAAGUAUAGGGUGGAAUGGGGGACAUUUAGUCACUUUGAAAAGUCUUUCAAAGAAUCAUAUUGAUGUUGAAAUUCCAGAAGAUGAAGGAAAUCCACGAUGAAGGUUUACGGGUUUUUAUGGGGCAUUGGAUGUAAGGAAUGAACCAGAGAUAUGAGAUUUAUUUCGACGAUUGGGGAGAAAUAAUUAGCUACCAUGGCUGGUUGGUGGUGACUUCAAUGAUAUUCUUUUUGCUCAUGAAAAAUAGGGAGGAUUGUAAGGGAUGAGACUAGAAUGGAGGAUUUUCGUCGAACAUUAGAGGAUUGUCAAUUGGAAGACAUAGGUUUUUCUAGAACGUGGUUUACUUGGGAGAGAGGUCAAAUAAUGGAAAGAAACAUUAGAGAAAGAAUUGAUAGAAGAGUUGCUACAAAUGCUUGGUUACAACUUUUCCCAACUUACUCUUUGCGGCAUCUUUCACACUUUUUCUUAAAUCAUUAUCCUUUGCUUAUUGAGACGAUGGCUGAAGGGAUGGGCAAAAAACCUAUAAGGUUUCGUUUUGAAGCUUGGUGGGUUUUAAAGGAGUCGUGUAAGGAAUAGAUUAGGAAAUUGUGGGAAGGUAGCUCGGGUUCCUUUCUAAAUCAUAUAUCAACUCUUGCUAAUGGGUUGAAGUAUUGGGCGGGUAAGAUUGAGUACAAAAGAGGAUGAGAUGUGAAACGAUUAACUAGGAGACUUGAAGAAUUGAAUAGUGAUGAGAGAUCGGAGGAGAAUUUGGCUGAGCUUGUUGAGGUCAAACUACACCUGAACAAGGAGAUGGAUAAAGAGGUGAGAUAUUGGGAACAAUGAGCAAGAGUGAAUUGGCUGAAAAUGGGUGAUAAGAAUACUUCAUUCUUCUAUAAAUAUGCUUCUCAGAGACGACGUAUUAGUCGGAUUCAAGGAUUAUAAAAAAAACAAUAGUUCUCUAGCUACGGAUGGUAUGGAGAUUGGGAAUAUUGCUCGUAACUAUUUUUCAGACCUAUUUGCUUCUAAAGGAAUUAGAAACUUGGAGCAUAUACUCUCGGGGGUUCAUUUAUGUAUUUUUGACAGUAUGAAUCAAAGUUUGAUGGCUACUUGCACAAAUGAAGAAAUUGUUGAGGUGCAAAAAAGAAUGGGGCCUAUAAAAGCUUCAGGUUCUGAUGGUUUUUCGGUAGUAUUUUACCAAAAGUAUUGGCAAAUUAUUGGUAAAGAUACUUGUGCUUUUUGUUUGGAUAUUCUGAAUCAUGGUAAAUCUAUGAAAGAAAUUAACAGAACUCAAUUGGUGUUAAUUCCAAAAACUGCUAAUCCUAUUAAUCUAAAAUUUUUUUACCCUAUUAGUCUGUGUACUGUUAUCUAUAAAAUUAUAGCCAAGACUGUUGCCAAUCGUUUACAAAAGGUUCUGGAUGAUUGUAUCUAUGACUCUCAAAGUAACUUUGUACCGGACAGACUCAUUACUGACAAUGUGUUGCUGGAGUAUGAGAUACUUCAUUCUUUUAAGAAUAAAAGAUCAGGGCAAAGAAGAUUUAUGGCUCUAAAACUCGAUAUGAGCAAGGCCUAUGAUAGAGUGGAGUGGCCUUUCCUCAAUGGUAUGAUGUCAAAAAUGGGUUUUGCAAAUCUGUUCAUUGAUUUUAUUCUCUGAUGUAUUAAUUUUGUUCAAUAUUCAAUUUUACUUAAUGGCGACGAAGGCUCAAGUUUCAAGUCAUCGAGAGGACUGCGUCAAGGGGAUCCAUUAAGCCCUUACCUAUUUCUGAUAUGUGAAGAAUGGCUUUCUACGUUGAUGAGACUAGUAAGUCAAGAAAGAAAAAUUUGUGGUGCUAAGGUAUGUAGAUCUUCCCCACCAAUCACCCACCUCAUGUUUGCAGAUGAUUGUAUACUGUUUGGAAAGGUUUUGAAUAGAGGGAUUAAUGUGCUUAAAGAUAUCUUAAGUGAAUAUGAGCCUUGCUCAGGGGGCAAUGUGUAAAUUUUGAAAAAUCCAAAGAUUUUUUCAGUUCGAAUGUGAAUGAUCAGGAUAAGAACUUGGCUUUUCAGGUUCUUAAUGUUCGAUGUUCGACUGAUCCAGAGAAAUACUUAGGAUUACCAAAUAUGGUAGGUCAAAAAAGGAAAAUGGCCUCCCAAAGUGUGAAAGAUAGAUUGAAGCAGAAGAUUAACAGCUAGAGCAUAAGGCAUAUCUCACAAGGAGGUAGAGAGGUAUUUAUCAAGGCUAUUUUGCAAGUAAUUCCUACAUAUACAAUGUCUUAUUUUUUUUUUCCAAAAUCUUUUUGUAUGGAAAUGGAAAACAUAAUAGGGUCCUUUUGGUGAAAAAAAAAGCCAAAGAAAGAAAGGUAUGCACUAGUGUGAUUGGAAGUCUUUAUGUGCGCUUAAAGAAAAGGGUGGUAUGGGUUUUCGUAAUUUGAAUCUUUUUAAUAUCGCUUUAUUGGCCAAACAGGGUUGGCGUUUGUUACGAAAUCCUAAUUCUUUACUAGCACAUACUUUGAAGGCCAAAUAUUAUAAAGAUUCUGAUAUUUUAAAUUCCAAGAUGGGAAAUUUACCUUCUUUUACUUGGCAGAGUUUAUAGGCUGCAAAAAGGUUCCUUUUGAAAGGUUUGGGCUGGAGGAUUGGUGAUGGAAAACAAGUCUUUAUCUGAGGAGAUGCUUGGGUUCCUAGAAAUGAUAAGUUGCAGAUUUGAUUGAUGCCAAUACAAGAAAAUAGAAAGCUGAGUUGAUUUGUAAUACCUUUACGGAGAAGGAUGCAGAGAGGAUUUUAUGUAUUCCUUUGUCCAUAAUUUCGUAUGAGGACCAUAUCAUCUGGCGUGGUGAGCCGACCGGGGAGUGUUCGGUUUGUGGUGGGCACAAAUAUCUUUUACAUAACGGUCAGAAUCAAGUACAGUCUAAUUACAAACAAUUUUACAAGAAAUUGUAGAAUUUAGAUCUACCCCCUAAAAUCAAAUUUACAAAUUGGAGGUUUUCAUGUAACUAUUUUCCUACUUAUAGUAAUAUUCACUAUCAAAGAAUGAUGGGCUCUACCUCUUGCCGAAGAUGUCAAACAGGAGCGAAAACGAGAGAGCACUUGUUUAGAGAGUGUCCUACAGCAAAGGAAACAUGGGAGAAGUUAAAUAUCAUCUGGCCUAUUUCAGAUGCAAAUACUGACUUCGAAGAUUGGAUAAAAAACAUUUUUGAUUCUCAUUCCAUGGCUAAGUGCAAGAUGAUAGCAUGUGCAUUGUGGGUGAUUUGGUCAUCCAGAAACAAAAUUCAUACAUGAAGGUGAGAUGAAACCGGGUUUUCAAAUUGCAGGUUUUGUGAUCAACUAUCUAAAGGAACUAGAUGGGUUGAAUAUGCACUUACUAGAAAGAAGGAUUCAUACGGACAGAUGGGUUGCUCUGUUAGGGCUGAGGGUAGAAAUAAAUUUUGAUGUAGCUUUCAAUAGACAAAGGAUCGAGUCAUGUUCUGGGUUAGUGGUUUGAAAUGAAAAAAGCAGAUGUUAUUUGUUCAAGAACAGUUAUGCAUGUGAAUAUACUAUCUGUUUUUGCAGCUGAAGUGAUGGCGUGUCUUUAGGUACUCAAUCUCGGGUUACAUCUCAGGCUGAGGGAAGUUGAAAUUGAAGGUGAUUCUCAGCCAGUGAUUCGUAAACUGUAAGAGGAGAAAGAAGACAGAUCUGAUAUUGCAACGUACAUAAAACACUCUAAGUAACUAAGUUUAGGUUUCAAGUAUUGUAUAUUUCGAUUUAUCCAUAGGGAAUCUAACAAGGUUGCUCAUGUCAUAGCUUCAGGAGGAAUCAAGAAAAGGGAGACAACUUAUUUGAUGCAUAUGGUUCCUUCUGGCGUAGAGGAAGUGAUGGCUGAUGAUUGAAGUUGGAUGAAAUCCAUGAGGGAGACAAGCGGUCGGAGAGGUGAAUUUAAGGAUGGAAGUGGUUUUGAAUUGUCUGAAAGUCGAUGUAUUCAAGAAGGUUUGGUGGAAAGGAACUAUUUUCUGAUGGAAAUUGAUGGAGGAUAAUUAUGAAGCAGAUGCAGUUUCCCAUGUGGUUUUGUUGUUUUUAAGAGUGGGGUUAAUUAAGUGGAGAACAGCUAGGAUGCAGAAGUCUCUAGAGCUUCCCUAUCGUUUCAAGCUGGAUAUUUGUUUUGGGCUUUUUUAUUUUGGUUUCGUUUUGUUUUGUCUGCUUUGGGUUUGUUCUUUGGGUUUUUUCUGUUUUGAUUUAUUUUUUGGUUGUUUGUUGGGUUUGUUUUUGGGCCUUUUUAUGAAUAAAUAUCCAGACAUUAUUUCCAAAAAAAAAAAAAUUAUUAUGCAUUAAGAUGAGAAAUGAUCAUUU